rnacentral:lncRNA from 1 species
ACUAUGGAAGGGAGCUGGGAAUCUGGUUUUAUUAAAAAAAAAAAAAUCCUUCAUGCUCUGUGAUUUACUGAACUUGAGUCAUGCUCAAAGUGUGUUCCUCAACCAGCAUCACUGACGUCCCAUGAACACUGGUUAGAAAUUCAGAAUCUUAGGUCCUACUCCAGACCUGGUGCCCAAUAACUGCCUUUUAAUAACAUCCUCAGGGAAUUUUAGGCACACAAAAUUGUGAAAAACACAGAACCAUUUCUCUAUAGUUCCCAGGCCCUAUUUAACUCUAUAAAGUUUCAGAGUCCAGAGGUCAAGGUUUCGGAAGGGAUAGGGUUCUGGAAUGUUAAAAGUCUAGAUUUUUAAGGUUCUAGGAUUCUAAUACUCUGAGGUUUUAGGAUUCUAAUGUCCUCUGGUUCUCAGAUUUGAGCCUUCUAGGUUUCCACUGUUCUAGAAUCCUAAGGGUCUGAAGUUCUGAGGCCCCCAGUACUGAGCAUCUCUGUGGGUGGCAGGCAGGGUGCUCACAGCAGAUAAUAACCAGUCCUCUUCCUUCUCCAUCUCUCCUCUUGCUCCUCUGGCCCCUUUCCUUCCUUUCCUCUCUCCAUUUCUCUCUCUGUGUGUCUCUCUUUCCCUCCUUGUCACCCUCAGCUGUGCCCAGCAGUCCGUGGCCUCCUUGAAAGCCUGGAUGCGGAGUAUGUUAAGAACCGCAUUGGUGAACUUUGGGAAGCCCAGCAGGGACAGUGAAGAGCACAGAUGAGGAAACUGCUGUGAUGCCCACCUGCUGGUGAGGACUGGGCUGGGGGCCUCAGGCUGAGAGAUGAUGAGAACCCUCCUGCCCCAAUACACACAUACAGGGGCCCAUGGAGAAACAGAAGCAAGCUUGCCUUCUCUUCUUUCUCCAGUAGCAGACUGAGCCCUGGUCUUGGUCGUAGACCCAGUCCUGACCCUUAACCACACCCCCAGAUGGCACUUGGUUCUGCUCCCUGACUGAGCCUGGAACAGUCACACUGAGCUUUGACUUCAGUAGUUGACUGAGCCCUGACACUGGUCACAGAAUCUGACCUGCAUCUCAGUCUGAUCCC